UACAGAGGGUGCGAGCGUUAAUCGGAAUUACUGGGCGUAAAGCGCACGUAGGUGGCGACGUAAGUCGGGUGUGAAAGCCCCGGGCUCAACCUGGGAAUUGCAUUCGAGACUGCAUUGCUGGAGUACGGAAGAGGAGGGCGGAAUUCCCGGUGUAGCGGUGAAAUGCGUUGAUAUCAGGAGGAACACCGAUGGCGAAGGCAGCAAACUGGUCGUCAACUGACGCUGAGGCGCGAAAGCGUGGGUAGCAAACAGG
rnacentral:rRNA from 1 species